GGGCUGCGUCCCAUCAGCUAGUUGGUGAGGUAAUGGCUCACCAAGGCUACGACGGGUAACCGGUCUGAGAGGAUGAUCGGUCACAGUGGGACUGAGACACGGCCCGCACCCCUACGGGGGGCAGCAGUGGGGAAUAUUGGGCAAUGGCCGAAAGGCUGACCCAGCAACGCCGCGUGGUGGAUGAAGCCCUUCGGGGUGUAAACACCUUUUCUGGGGGAAGAUAAUGACGGUACCCCAGGAAUAAGGGACGGCUAACUACGUGCCAGCAGCCGCGGUAAUACGUAGGUCCCGAACGUUGCGCGAAAUUACUGGGCGUAAAGGGUCCGUAGGCGGUCUGGUAAGUGGAAGGUGAAAUCCUACGGCUCAACCGUAGAAUUGCCUUCCAAACUGCUGGACUUGAGGCAGGGAGAGGUCGGCGGAAUUCCCGGUGUAGCGGUGAAAUGCGUAGAUAUCGGAAGGAACACCAGUGGCGAAGGCGGCCGACUGGAACUGUCCUGACGCUGAGGGACGAAAGCUAGGGGAGCAAACCGGAUUAGAUACCCGGGUAGUCCUAGCCGUAAACGAUGGAUGCUAGAUGUGGCCUACGAAAGUAGGCUGUGCCGCAAGCAA
rnacentral:rRNA from 1 species